GCCAUCCUCCUGCCAGGAGCUUCAUUACAGACACCAUGACAUGUGUGCAGGGAUUGACCAGCAAGGACGAUGACCACAGCACGGCCACCACUGGAAGCCACCGGACAGCUGGACAAUGGUGUUACAAAAUAAAGCAGGUAACAAAGAAAUGGACAAUGACCACAACACUCAGCUUUUAUUCAGCACCUGCCUUAGGCAGCACAUUAAAAGCUUUUAGUAAAUUCUUUUGUUUAAUCCUCACAAUAAACCUAUUAAAUGUUUAAAAAGUGAUUAUGACACGUAUGUACAAGUGAUUCUAAUCAUUUAAGGAGACACUUCUAUAGGCAUAGAUAAAUAACUGGAAAGAUAUACACUGAAUGGUCAACAGGAGUGCAUUUCUCUGAAUAGAAAUGUACGGAUCAUCUUUAUUUUCUUUUUUAUACCUACUUUUCUCAGUCUCUUCUAUCUUCUAUAAUAAAAAAAGAAGGAAAAAUUGUUAGCUAUCCCUUAAUGGUAUUUUAAUAUCUAGCUAUUUCUUUUUGUUGUUUUUAAUAAGUAGUAUAUAUAUAUAUAUAUAUAUAUAUAUAUAUAUAUAAUUUAUAUAUCUUAAGAAUAUAUAUGUACUCUCUUGUACACACACACACACACACACACACACACACACUCCUGCAAUCAGCUGCUGAAUACCCAAGGAAAUAGCUCAUUGGCCGCCUCAUUUUUCCUAGGUAAUGUAUGUCCCGGGGCUUGUUUCCCCGCGAAUGAGGUAUAUUUGUCUCCUCUGUCUUUUAGGGUUGGCCUCGGGUCCAUUAAUCAUUCUGUCUGGAGCCCAAGGAGAAGCGUCCAGGAGCAGGAGGAGGGCCAGAGCCGUGGGGCAGCGGUGAUGAAGGUGCCCUCCGCGGGGAGGCGGCCGGGGCCUGGAUGGAGAGGCCAUGUCCCACCUCGCUGCGCUGGCCACACCCUCCUGAGCGCUUCCUUCCCUUACUGUCCUGGGAAGUGAACGGGGCUGUUCUCUCCGUGUUCACAGAGACUGGAAAAGGACUGGAAUCCAGACACCAGAACUGAAGUGCGGGACUGCCCACCCUCCGCCUCCAAAUGGACACGUUCAAAGAGUGAAGGCAGAACGCGCUUCCUCUGGUGCUCUCCGUGCGUCCUGCACCCUCAACAGAAGCUGCUGGGCGCGAUGCCCCUCCCCGCCCUGUGGACAUCAGGCAAAGCCCAAGGCGAGUCCAGGACCCAGGGAAAGCCACACCAAGACACAGCAGAAAUGCUACAGUCAGCCCCAGGGAGUUAAAGUCUAACAGAUACAAGAAGGGUCCUCUGAGGACCCUGCAGCAGAGAGGCCACUGUCCCUGUGUCCCAUCUUUCUGAUGGCACACACCAGUGUGAACUAAGUAAGGUCAGGGAUCAAUGAAAGGCCACCUGGUGGCUGGG
rnacentral:lncRNA from 1 species